rnacentral:rRNA from 1 species
GAUGAACGCUGGCGGCAUGCCUAAUACAUGCAAGUCGAGCGAACAGACGAGGAGCUUGUUCCUCUGACGUUAGCGGCGGACGGGUGAGUAACACGUGGAUAACCUCCCUAUAAGACUGGGAUAACUUCGGGGAACCGUAGCUAAUACCGGAUAAUAUAUUGAACCGCAUGGUUCAAUAGUGAAAGACGGCUUUGCUGUCACUUAUAGCUGGAUCCGCGCCGCAUUAGCUAGUUGGUAAGGUAACGGCUUACCAAGGCAACGAUGCGUAGCCGACCUGAGAGGGUGAUCGGCCACACUGGAACUGAGACACGGUCCAGACUCCUACGGGAGGCAGCAGUAGGGAAUCUUCCGCAAUGGGCGAAAGCCUGACGGAGCAACGCCGCGUGAGUGAUGAAGGUCUUCGGAUCGUAAAACUCUGUUAUUAGGGAAGAACAAAUGUGUAAGUAACUAUGCACGUCUUGACGGUACCUAAUCAGAAAGCCACGGCUAACUACGUG